CACCUCUCGCCGCCGCCGCCCCCCCUCUCCACCGCCGCCCGCCUCAGACCGCUCUCCCCUCUCAGACCCAUCCUCCCUCCUCUCCUCUCCGCCCAAUGUUCGAGCAGCCGCCCUGAUUAAGCGCGCCCGCAAAGGCCGGGCGCCCGCGGAUUGGCACCGCAGCACCCUGCUCGCCGCUCUCACGCCUACGCAACGUUGCAGCCUCUCAGCCGCAGAGGGUCCAAGAUGGGUCUCUUCGCGUAUGAGCAGGCUCUAACAUGACGGCCACGGUCAUGGACAGGUACCACCAGCGCUCUCAGAGAGGGUUUGAAGCCAAAUUUACUUAUCUAUAGCGCCGUGAUCAAUGCAUUGUGCAAGGAUGGUAAUGUUAGGGAUGCAGAGUCAAUCAUGAACGAGAUGUCUGAGUCUAGGAUGUUAGGAUGAAGCCCGACACAUUCCACCUACACGUCAAUUGUUCUUGGGAUUUCCAAUCCAAUGGAUAAAGAGGGGUGUGUGCCAAACGCCGUGACAUACUCAACCCUAAUCAAUAAGCUGUGCAGUAGUGUGAAGGUGAAUGAGGAAUUGGGUUUGAUUGGCAAAAUACACAGUGUGACAUGGGGCUGCAUUCAAGAUGCCUGGAAGCUGUUUCUUGAUAUGAAAAAGAAGGGAUGCAGACCAACUGUGUAUACGUGCACAUCACUUAUAGGUGGGCACUUAUUCUGUCAAAAAAAUCACUUAUAGGAGGGCAGUGUGUGUCAAGGAUGGCCAUUGGACUAUUUCAUAGGAUGGCAAGAGAUGGUUUGCUCCCUAAUACAGUGACAUAUAAUGGUUCGAUGAAUGUUCUGGUGGACUGGGGGAGGGUAAAAAAUGGAUUCUGCACUUAUUGUUUGUAAUGUGAUGCAGGGACAUGGUUAUUUACCUGACACCGUGACUGACAUACAAUGUACUGAUCAAGGGCUAUUGCGCAAUUGGUAAUACCGAUAAGGCAAUAUCCAUGCUGAUCAAUAUGUUGGAGGGCAGAGCUAGAGCUACACUUGUAAUAAUUAUAGGCUUGCAAAAUAAAUACCUCAUGGUGGACCAGAAACUUAUAGCCUUUCCUGAUGCAGUCUCGGACCGCAACUUUGAUGACCAAAUAACCAAUAGUGUCGAAAAUGAUCUUAUAUUUUUGGACGGAGGGAGUAACAAAGAUGACAUUUCAGUCUUGUGUUCUUAAUUAGCAGAACUGGAUCUUGGACUAUCUCAACAGUUGUAUGAUGCAUUGUUGUCUGGAUUAAGCAGAAGUCAGAGAUGGUUUAAGGCAGAGAAGCUGUACAGACGCAUGGUUGGUUAGGGUUUAUGCCCAAACCAGGAGGCAUGUAAUUAUUUUGUUAUUUCACUUUUGAGAGCCCUGAAAGUUGACCGACUAUGGAUGUAUUCAGAAAUAUGUCUUCUCAGUGUCGUGAGCUCCACCUUGUUGGUUAUAAAGAACUAAUAUGUGCUUUAUGCCAACUUCAUAGAAGAAAUUAAGCCCAAUUUGUAUUUGAAGACAUGCUAUCGAGGAAUUUUAGUUCUGAUAACAUUGUAUGGACUGUUCUCAUCAAUGGACUGAUUGGGGCCGGAUACAAAGACUUGUGCGUGGAGUUUCUGCACAUUAUGGAAAAAAAUCAUCAUAAGCGUAGCUUCUGUAUGUGCACAAUUGUAGCAAGGGAAGCAUUGAAAGAGUAGCCAUAGAAUCAGCUGGACUUGAUGCACUGCAGCAAUUUGGGAUUUUCUUGUGAUGCCUCAUGUGCCAGAGCUGUUAAUCUGGAGUGAGUUAGAUGGCUAGAGGGACCUUUUCAUUGUUUUGCUACUUGGUCUUCCUUGAUCCUUGUUAUCUAUUCCCAAGGCUUCCGCAUUGUGGUUCCAGUGAGAUCAAAGAAUGCCUAUGUGCAGCAAGUUUCAUAUCCAGUUUAGCUGUUACACGCUGAACAUUCCCAUCAUUUUGCACUCUACACUGAAUCACUGAUUACCAACCUCUAUUUCAAACCUCAGGAUUCCUAGGGAUUGUCAGAAAUGGGAGCCAGAGUUGGAAGACCCAAAAGAUCAAUUCCGUGAAUACUUCCCGAUUGGCCCUUUAAUUGGAAAGUGGUGCAAGAUGCAUCAGCAGGAACAACAAAUUGCGAUGCCAGGUCACCUCAAGUUGAACUUGCACAGGAUGGUGAACAGAUGCAUGAUCACUGCCAUUCCAUUUAGUGGACUGACCUGCCCAAACUGAUUUCAUGGACGCCAAUUGGUUCAGAAACCGCUAUGCUGCUCGCCGUUACCAGCAUGUACCAAUACUUGAGUCUGAGAAAGAAAGAGCAACCAAACCUGUUUUGGGCUUU